UACAGAGACUGCAAGCGUUAUUCGGAUUCACUGGGCGUAAAGGGUGCGCAGGUGGUCGUGUGUGUCAGAUGUGAAAUCCCGGGGCUUAACUCCGGAACUGCGUCUGAAACUGCACGACUAGAGCAUUGGAGAGGGUAGUGGAAUUCCGGGUGUAGCGGUGAAAUGCGUAGAUAUCCGGAGGAACACCGGUGGCGAAGGCGGCUUCCUGGACCGAUUACUGACGCUGAGGCGCGAAAGCUAGGGGAGCAAACGGG
rnacentral:rRNA from 1 species